rnacentral:rRNA from 1 species
GAGACUUGAGUAUGUUUGAGGUAGGCGGAAUGCGUGGUGUAGCGGUGAAAUGCAUAGAUAUCACGCAGAACUCCGAUUGCGAAGGCAGCUUGCCAAGCCAUAACUGACACUGAAGCACGAAAGCGUGGGUAUCAAACAGGAUUAGAUACCCUGGUAGUCCACGCAGUAAACGAUGAUUACUAGGAGUUUGCGAUAUAAUGUAAGCUCUACAGCGAAAGCGUUAAGUAAUCCACCUGGGGAGUACGCCGGCAACGGUGAAACUCAAAGGAAUUGACGGGGGCCCGCACAAGCGGAGGAACAUGUGGUUUAAUUCGAUGAUACGCGAGGAACCUUACCCGGGUUUGAACGCAGUCUGACCGCCGAUGAAAGUCGGCUUCUAGCAAUAGCGGAUUGCGAGGUGCUGCAUGGUUGUCGUCAGCUCGUGCCGUGAGGUGUCGGCUUAAGUGCCAUAACGAGCGCAACCCUUGCCGUUAGUUACUAACAAGUAAAGUUGAGGACUCUAGCGGGACUGCCAGCGUAAGCUGUGAGGAAGGCGGGGAUGACGUCAAAUCAGCACGGCCCUUACAUCCGGGGCGACACACGUGUUACAAUGGCGUGGACAAAGAGCAGCCACUUGGCGACAAGGAGCUAAUCUCCAAACCACGUCUCAGUUCGGAUCGGAGUCUGCAACUCGACUCCGUGAAGCUGGAUUCGCUAGUAAUCGCGCAUCAGCCAUGGCGCGGUGAAUACGUUCCCGGGCCUUGUACACACCGCCCGUCAAGCCAUGGGAGUCGGGGGUACCUGAAGUCCGUAACCGCAAGGAUCGGCCUAGGGUAAAACUGAUGACUGGGGCUAAGUCGUAACAAGGUAACC